rnacentral:ribozyme from 12 species
AGCAAAAGCAAAAGCAAAAGCAAGCCACUGCCGGCGCGGAGCUUUGCUUUUCCUCUUUGCUUUUGCCUUUUUCCUUUUUCUUUCUCCUAG